CUACGGGAGGCAGCAGUGGGGAAUCUUCCGCAAUGGACGAAAGUCUGACGGAGCAACGCCGCGUGAACGAUGAAGGCCUUCGGGUCGUAAAGUUCUGUUGUUAGGGAAGAACAAGUGCUAGUUAAAUAAGCUGGCACCUUGACGGUACCUAACCAGAAAGCCACGGCUAACUACGUGCCAGCAGCCGCGGUAAUACGUAGGUGGCAAGCGUUGUCCGGAAUUAUUGGGCGUAAAGCGCGCGCAGGCGGUUCCUUAAGUCUGAUGUGAAAGCCCCCGGCUCAACCGGGGAGGGUCAUUGGAAACUGGGGAACUUGAGUGCAGAAGAGGAGAGCGGAAUUCCACGUGUAGCGGUGAAAUGCGUAGAGAUGUGGAGGAACACCAGUGGCGAAGGCGGCUCUCUGGUCUGUAACUGACGCUGAGGCGCGAAAGCGUGGGGAGCGAACAGGAUUAGAUACCCUGGUAGUCCACGCCGUAAACGAUGAGUGCUAAGUGUUAGAGGGUUUCCGCCCUUUAGUGCUGCAGCAAACGCAUUAAGCACUCCGCCUGGGGAGUACGGCCGCAAGGCUGAAACUCAAAGGAAUUGACGG
rnacentral:rRNA from 1 species